CCAGCUUGCUGGGUGGAUUAGUGGCGAACGGGUGAGUAACACGUGAGUAACCUGCCCUUAACUCUGGGAUAAGCCUGGGAAACUGGGUCUAAUACCGGAUAGGAGCGUCCACCGCAUGGUGGGUGUUGGAAAGAUUUAUCGGUUUUGGAUGGACUCGCGGCCUAUCAGCUUGUUGGUGAGGUAAUGGCUCACCAAGGCGACGACGGGUAGCCGGCCUGAGAGGGUGACCGGCCACACUGGGACUGAGACACGGCCCAGACUCCUACGGGAGGCAGCAGUGGGGAAUAUUGCACAAUGGGCGMAAGCCUGAUGCAGCGACGCCGCGUGAGGGAUGACGGCCUUCGGGUUGUAAACCUCUUUCAGUAGGGAAGAAGCGAAAGUGACGGUACCUGCAGAAGAAGCACCGGCUAACUACGUGCCAGCAGCCGCGGUAAUACGUAGGGUGCGAGCGUUAUCCGGAAUUAUUGGGCGUAAAGAGCUCGUAGGCGGUUUGUCGCGUCUGUCGUGAAAGUCCGGGGCUUAACCCCGGAUCUGCGGUGGGUACGGGCAGACUAGAGUGCAGUAGGGGAGACUGGAAUUCCUGGUGUAGCGGUGGAAUGCGCAGAUAUCAGGAGGAACACCGAUGGCGAAGGCAGGUCUCUGGGCUGUAACUGACGCUGAGGAGCGAAAGCAUGGGGAGCGAACAGGAUUAGAUACCCUGGUAGUCCAUGCCGUAAACGUUGGGCACUAGGUGUGGGGACCAUUCCACGGUUUCCGCGCCGCAGCUAACGCAUUAAGUGCCCCGCCUGGGGAGUACGGCCGCAAGGCUAAAACUCAAAGGAAUUGACGGGGGCCCGCACAAGCGGCGGAGCAUGCGGAUUAAUUCGAUGCAACGCGAAGAACCUUACCAAGGCUUGACAUGUUCUCGAUCGCCGUAGAGAUACGGUUUCCCCUUUGGGGUGGGUUCACAGGUGGUGCAUGGUUGUCGUCAGCUCGUGUCGUGAGAUGUUGGGUUAAGUCCCGCAACGAGCGCAACCCUCGUUCCAUGUUGCCAGCACGUCGUGGUGGGGACUCAUGGGAGACUGCCGGGGUCAACUCGGAGGAAGGUGAGGACGACGUCAAAUCAUCAUGCCCCUUAUGUCUUGGGCUUCACGCAUGCUACAAUGGCCGGUACAAUGGGUUGCGAUACUGUGAGGUGGAGCUAAUCCCAAAAAGCCGGUCUCAGUUCGGAUUGGGGUCUGCAACUCGACCCCAUGAAGU
rnacentral:rRNA from 1 species